UACGUAGGGGGCGAGCGUUGUCCGGAUUUAUUGGGCGUAAAGAGCGUGUAGGCGGUUUGUCGCGUCUGCUGUGAAAUUUCGGGGCUCAACCCCGAACUUGCAGUGGGUACGGGCAGACUAGAGUGUGGUAGGGGAGACUGGAAUUCCUGGUGUAGCGGUGAAAUGCGCAGAUAUCAGGAGGAACACCGAUGGCGAAGGCAGGUCUCUGGGCCACUACUGACGCUGAGAAGCGAAAGCAUGGGGAGCGAACAGG
rnacentral:rRNA from 1 species